AGUGAACGCUGGCGGUAGGCCUAACACAUGCAAGUCGAACGGCAGCACAGUAAGAGCUUGCUCUUACGGGUGGCGAGUGGCGGACGGGUGAGGAAUACAUCGGAAUCUACUUUUUCGUGGGGGAUAACGUAGGGAAACUUACGCUAAUACCGCAUACGACCUACGGGUGAAAGCAGGGGAUCUUCGGACCUUGCGCGAUUGAAUGAGCCGAUGUCGGAUUAGCUAGUUGGCGGGGUAAAGGCCCACCAAGGCGACGAUCCGUAGCUGGUCUGAGAGGAAGAUCAGCCACACUGGAACUGAGACACGGUCCAGACUCCUACGGGAGGCAGCAGUGGGGAAUAUUGGACAAUGGGCGCAAGCCUGAUCCAGCCAUACCGCGUGGGUGAAGAAGGCCUUCGGGUUGUAAAGCCCUUUUGUUGGGAAAGAAAAGCAGCAGGUUAAUACCCCGCUGUUCUGACGGUACCCAAAGAAUAAGCACCAGCUAACUUCGUG
rnacentral:rRNA from 1 species